rnacentral:rRNA from 1 species
AUUGAACGCUGGCGGCAUGCCUUACACAUGCAGGUCGAACGGUAACAGGUCUUCGGAUGCUGACGAGUGGCGAACGGGUGAGUAAUACAUCGGAACGUGCCUAGUAGUGGGGGAUAACUACUCGAAAGAGUGGCUAAUACCGCAUGAGAUCUACGGAUGAAAGCAGGGGAUCGCAAGACCUUGUGCUACUAGAGCGGCCGAUGGCAGAUUAGGUAGUUGGUGGGAUAAAAGCUUACCAAGCCGACGAUCUGUAGCUGGUCUGAGAGGACGAUCAGCCACACUGGGACUGAGACACGGCCCAGACUCCUACGGGAGGCAGCAGUGGGAAAUUUUGGACAAUGGGCGCAAGCCUGAUCCAGCAAUGCCGCGUGCAGGAUGAAGGCCUUCGGGUUGUAAACUGCUUUUGUACGGAACGAAAAGCCCCGGGUUAAUACCCUGGGGUCAUGACGGUACCGUAAGAAUAAGCACCGGCUAACUACGUGCCAGCAGCCGCCGCCG